rnacentral:rRNA from 1 species
AGAGUUUGAUCAUGGCUCAGGGUGAACGCUGGCGGCGUGGAUAAGGCAUGCAAGUCAAGGGGGCUCGCAAGAGCAACCGGCAGACGAAGUAGUAAUACGCAGGUACGCACCGAAGAGUCGGGCAUAGCUAGCCGAAAGGUUAGGUAAUUCCCGAUGGUCCCCGACAUCGCAAGAUCGUCGAGGUAAAGAUUUUUCGCUCUUUGAGCGGCCUGCGGAGCAUCAGCUAGUUGGUAGGGUAAUGGCCUACCAAGGCUAUGACGCUUAGGGGAGCUGAGAGGCUGACCCCCACUGAUAGCACUGAGACACGGGCUAUACAUCUACGGAUGGCUGCAGUCGAGAAUCUUCCGCAAUGGGCGAAAGCCUGACGGAGCGACGCCGCGUGAUUGAUGAAGUCCUUCGGGACGUAAAGAUCUUUUAUGGGGGAGGAAGUAAUUGACGUUACCCCAUGAAUAAGGAGCUCCUAACUCUGUGCCAGCAGGAGCGGUAAUACAGAGGCUCCAAGCGUUACCCGGAAUCACUGGGCGUAAAGGGUGUGUAGGCGGCGUUGUUAGUCUUUCGUAAAAGCUCUGGGGCUUAACCUCGGAAAUGCGGGAGAAACGGCAAUGCUCGAGGAUGCGAGAGGUAUAUGGAACUCAUGGUGUAGGGGUGAAAUCCGUUGAUAUCAUGGGGAACACCAAAUGCGAAGGCAAUAUACUGGCGCACUCCUGACGCUGAAACACGAAAGCGUGGGAAUCGAACGGGAUUAGAUACCCUAGUAGUCC